rnacentral:misc_RNA from 1 species
AACGCAAAUUGCACUCUCUGGUAACCCGGGGAGUAUGCCUGUUUGAGGGUCAGUGUUAAUAAAAAUCGGUGCGUUGCAAUUUUUUGUGAUGUUCCGGAGUUUGAGUUAUCUUAUCUUCUGGGUUUAAGAGGCUUAAAAUUGACCUUUUUGUGCAUUUUAGACGUACAUAAAUUUUUUUUUAUUCGUUUAUCUUAAUGCCAAAUCUAUUAGAUGCGACCAUAUCAAGUGGUUCCGUGUCUAUAAAUUUUUCAUGAUUUGACCUCAAAUCAGGUAGGAACACCCGCUGAACUUAA